rnacentral:misc_RNA from 1 species
AUUGUUUCCUUAGCUCCCCUUUGCUUGCUGGGACUGGAAAGGUGUGCGUGCCCCGUUGCUCUGCUCCGGUAGGUUUCCGCCAUCCCGCUGCACACAGCCCCUUCUGCUUGCGAUCAACGCGCUCGUCCCACACCGUCCGCCAGCUCUGUGCUUCCUGGGUACUUCCGAACCCGUAACGGUGCCCACCUUUGCAUGUGCUACCCCAUUGCGCUCGUACAUACACAUACUACAUACACACUGUCGCCUCUGUGCCUUUCUCUCCUUGUUGCUCCCUUCCUGGCUGUGCGUGGUGGCUUUGAAGAGGCGCUCACAUCUCUGGAAACUUCUGCGGUCUCUUGCUUGCUGGGUGUGCGCGCUGGGCAAGCACCCCUGAUUCGCAUGUGCUUUGCCUGAUGUCCUUGCCCUGUAUUUCGCUGUCAUCUUUACUUGCUGGGUGUCUUCGCUAAGUUUUGGCCUGCGUUGCACGAUGUGUUUUUAUUUCCCUAGCUCCCCUUUGCUUGCUAAAAUUGUACAGGUGUGCCCUAUGCCCCUCAGUAGGUUUCUGCCAUCCUGCUGCACACACCGUUUCCGCGAUGAACGCGCUCGUCCUACACACUCCGCCAGCUCUCUCUGUGCCUUGAGAUUAUUUUUUGCUUGCUCGGUCCGUCCAAAAACACAUCGCUGAGGUGCCCAGCUUUGCAUGAGCUCUCUCCAAUGCGCUCGUCGUGCAUUAUAUACAUCUUGUCACGCCUCUGUGCCUUUAUCCCCUUGUGCUGGUUGCUACUUGGUGGGUGUGCGGAGCUACCCAGAUCCCAUAUGCUAUGCCUGAUGUGCUCUCCGUGUAUUAAGCUCUGUCAACUCUGUUCCUGUCCUCGUGCGCUCUUUGCUUUCUGGGUGGGUGUAUGUGUGUGCAACUUCGCAUGUGUUCUCCCCAAUGCGUUCUUGGUGUAUUCCACUCUGUCAUCUCUGUGCCUUUAUGCCCUUGUGCUUGCUUGCUUGCUGGGUGUGCGCGAACGUCGCUGGAUGUGUGCGUCCAGGAGCGAACAGACUGACAUGCGAGCAAGACAUCCAGUGCCGUCGCUGAGCGGCCUAUCUUCGCAGGUACUGCGCUGCAAUGAUUUGGUUCUAUUGUUGGAUGCCAGAUAUCGCAGUUACGACCGAACCAACACAGAAAGCAACGCCCCAGCGUAGCCCAGUCGCUCCUUUGCGCAGCAUUCCCUGCAUUAUGCAUAAGGCUUGGCAGAAUUUGAACAAUGGAAUGUGCGAACUCUGAAUACCCCGAGCUUUCUAGCCAUAAUCAUGAUGCUCGAAACCCCAAUUCCACACCUAUGGAGCAUUCCAAAAUAAAGCCUAAGCGUUAGUACUCUCGGAUACACGUUCGCUUGCCAUCGUGGUGGAGGGCGUAACGCCUAAACUUUCCUACGGCUUGUCGUCCAAAGCCUGUUUUUCCCCUUCAUCUUUUCUUGACCAAGGGACAGUCUCUACCAAAGGUGUGCUAGGCUUUUUGCACAAAGCAGCGAGACCACUGAGCAUAUGU